GUGGGUUUGACUAGUGUCGUGUGCCCUAGUUUUCGGAAGAGAGAGGUGGAGAUGUACUGGAACUAGCAGAACAACUUUCUUGGGUGCUGAGAUCAUCAGAAGGGGCCCUUUUGGUAGAUCCACAACCCUCAGAAGCUGGGGUGAUUGUGGUCCAGGAGAGGACAUUCUCCAUGGCGACCCCUAAGUUGUGGAACUCCCCACUGAGGUGCAUCUGGCAACUUCACUGCAUAUUUUUAGGUGAAUGCUGAAGAAAACGUCUUUACCCUGGACAUCUGAAAGGUCACCAUUGUAGAGAAGCCUUGCUCACAAAGAUAGAUGGCACCAAAUGGCAGCAGAUGGAUGAUAGCUUGACUUGCCUAUUCUGGGUAUUCUUUACUAACCAAGAUCCAAAACUUUGGCCCCAAAUUGCUGCACACAUGUUGAGAACUGAAUUUAAGAUGGGAAAAAUGAGAAACCAAGAGAACCAACAUUGACAGAUCUUUCCAUUCCUACUUGCAAGUAAAUUCUAUUAAAAUGAAUGUGCCUUACUUCUGAGUACAUGCAUAGGACUUGCUUACCAAUGUAAUUAAGGUUGUUCUUACCUCGAGAGCGGAGUCUCCACCCACUUUACUGUUGUUUGUUUCUUCUUCUAUCAACUGUUGUGAAUGCCUCUUACAACCACCUUCCUAUCUGCCCCUUCCUAGUGUUACCUUGUCUGGAAUCAAAUGUAAAUGUUCAGAAAAUAAAUUUGGAGGAAAGUCAAUACAGGUGGACAGCUGCUCUUUAUUGUGGAAUACGCUCCCCAGUGAGGUGUGUCGCCAUCAUUAUUUACUUUCUGGAGGAAUUUGAAAAUAUUCCUGUUUACCCAGGCAUUUGAUGGCUGAAAGGGACUGUUCCUGGCAACCUGAAGAUCACUGAAAAAAGAAUGUUUUUAACUUGUUAAAUUGUUUUGCUUAUAUUUGCCACCCUGUGUGUCUUCAGGAGGAAGGGUGGAAUAUAAAUUCAGUAUUAAAUAAAUAAACAUUCACUGAGCAGGUGAAAUGUUAACCAUGACCACUGAACAGCCACGCCAGCUCGUACAAUACAUAUUUCAGUUAGGGGAGUAGGACUUCCAAAAGGGUUUGAGAUGUUGAAGAAAUCCUAUCUGUCUCUGGAGGAAGCCUUACUAGGCUGAAGGCAACAGCAAAGAUGGCUUCCUCACCACCAAACCGGGGGGGGGAGGCAGAAAGGCUAACUAGAGGCCCAGUUGCCCCUUCCAUUGCUGUCUUAGCUCCUUCACUUCUUAUGGCCCACUUUUUCAAGUGUGUGUGUGUGUGUGUGUACACACAUGCUUUCUCUCUUUCACACACACACGUAUAAUCUGCCAUUUCCCUUCCUUCCCCGCCUGCCCUCCAUCAGCCUCCCACACUUCUCUUUCCAUCUCCAGGUGUCAUCUUGUCAUUUUCUCUUUGGUUAUCCCAGGGCUUAUUUGUGUUCUUCCCACCCUCCCUCCCACAUACCCAUUCUUUCCAUGUCUCACCCUUCUAUAGUCUCUCCUCCAAGCCUCCACUGCAGAAUGGUGACCCGACCUCUCCUCCUUCCCCACCCCACCCAUUUUAUUUUCCUCCUGAGAUUAUCAGGAUGGGGGAGAGAGAAGUAAAUUCACUUGCAAUUAAUCUUCUCCCCCAAAGAGACAGAACUGAACAGUGAAGAUGGCAAUUACAUGACAGUACAUUAUCAAAUGUCUCAUAUUACCACAUUCCCAAGCAGGUUCCUACUCCUGAGGUGGAGGACAGAGGGUGUCUUUCCUGGCAAACACUUUGUGAAGGAAUUAAGCUGCUAUUGGUGCUGCCUCCGCGACUCCUUCUCAUCAGUUCUUGGAUGGACACUUUAAAAAUUUACCACUUGCUUAGUCAUUGGAGCCUUUAACUGUCGACGUGGCACACACACAUGGAGUGGUGGGAAGGUUCUAUUUCUUUUCCUCCUCCCCUGUUUCUGCCUUCCCCACCCCCAUUUUAAAAGGUGUGUGUGUGAUUUGCUAGCUUUGCAGAAAGGGGCAAAGCAGCAGGAGGAAACAAUGUGGGUGAAGGAGACAGUUGUCCCAAAGGAUGCACACUCUGCCUACUUACCAGACAGGACUUCAUCCCAUAGCUUUUUGUGACCCACCUGGCAUGGCUUCAUGCCCCCCCCAGGAGUCAUGGCCCACAGGUUGAAGGCCUAUGGUCUACACCCACUGACAGCAGCUCUACAGGGUUUCAUUCAGGAGACAUUCCCAGCCCAGCUUGGAGAUGCUGGGGAUUGAACCCGGGGCCUUCUGUGUACAAGGCAGAUGCUCUAACACUGAGCUACUGGUGGUGAUACUGGGUUAACAUACAAAUCAUUGCUAUAAUUUUUUUCUAGUAAAAUGCAGAAGACUUCAAACAAAUUAGAAAAGAAACCCUAAUAUUUCUUGACAGAAAGGAUGAGUGACUGAAUAAAUUUCUGUAUGCCAAAUGUAAUUCCACUAUUUCAUUGAAACUUGUUCCUCCUGCCGCUCCAUACAUAUCUUGCCAUUUCCUUAUUGUGUUCCAGGAUAUCCUCCUACUUUUUGCUUAAUGUAGAAGCUAUGAGCUGGCUUCCUAAAUCUUACAUUUGUUGCUCCUGGCAAUGUGCUUUUGAUCUGAUAUUUCUUUCUUUAUAUCUUUGCCUUCACUUUCCACAAGAUACUUAAUUGCUUCAUUUAUCACUACUCUGCAUUAU